rnacentral:miRNA from 1 species
ACUAAAAAAUAUUAGGUCUAC